UCCUCGGUGGAACACGGCGUACACAAGGAGGCGAUAAAGCGUCAGCCUUGCUGAGCCGGGCCACAACCAGCCAGCGCCAUAUUUUUCACUGUCAGGCGACUCAAGGAAUCCACCAGUGGCGUAGGAGCAGAGAGCUGUCAGAAGCUGCACGGUGCACUGAGGGCAAAAUUCCGGUGUCUUCCUUUUCAAUUUAUCCUGCACCAGACCAAGGAGGUUCGUUAUUUCGCCCCAAGCCAGCCUGUAUUUCUUUGUUAGUGGUUUAUUACUGAGAUGCCCGAUGGACAUUUAAUGUUUUUGCAUACUUAACUGUUUAUGUGUGUUAGCUUUUGUGAGGAGUCUGCAGUAGAUUUUCUAGUGAGUGUCCGUGGGUUGUCAGAUGGAUAGAGUUGUAAAUAGGUUACUCGUAUGACUGUGUGAAGGACUCUUCCACAUGAUACACAAAAUGACAGUUCAUAGACACUUCAAAUGUUUCAUUGUGAAUAACAACAUUGACCAAAUAGUAUUAUUAUUGUUGCUCAAUAAAGAAGAAUAUAGAAAA